rnacentral:rRNA from 1 species
UACGUAGGGGGCAAGCGUUGUCCGGAAUUAUUGGGCGUAAAGAGUUCGUAGGCGGUUUGUCGCGUCCGUUGUGAAAGCUUGGGGCUCAACCCCAAGUCUGCAUUCGAUACGGGCAGGCUAGAGUUCGGUGAGGGGAGACUGGAAUUCCUGGUGUAGCGGUGGAAAUGACGCAGAUAUCAGGAGGAACACCGGUGGCGAAGGCGGGUCUCUGGGCCGAUACUGACGCUGAGGAGCGAAAGCGUGGGGAGCGAACAGG